rnacentral:rRNA from 1 species
CCUACGGGUGGCUGCAGUGAGGAAUAUUGGUCAAUGGGCGGGAGCCUGAACCAGCCAAGUCGCGUGAGGGACGACGGUCCUAUGGAUUGUAACCCUCUUUUGUCGGGGAACAAAGGCGCCCACUGGUGCCCGGAUGAGUGUACCCGAAGAAAAAGCAUCGGCUAACUCCGUGCCAGCAGCCGCGGUAAUACGGAGGAUGCGAGCGUUAUCCGGAUUUAUUGGGUUUAAAGGGUGCGUAGGCGGACAGUCAAGUCAGCGGUAAAAACGCGGUGCUCAACGCCGGACAGCCGUUGAAACUGGCAGGCUGGAGUGGGCGAGAAGUAUGAGGAAUGCGUGGUGUAGCGGUGAAAUGCAUAGAUAUCACGCAGAACUCCGAUUGCGAAGGCAGCAUACCGGCGCCCGACUGACGCUGAGGCACGAAAGCGUGGGUAUCGAACAGGAUUAGAUACCCUAGUAGUC